rnacentral:rRNA from 1 species
CUCCUACGCGAGGCAGCAGUGGGGAAUCGUUGCGCAAUGCGCGAAAGCGUGACGCAGCAACGCCGCGUGGGGAAGACGGCCUUCGGGGUUGUAAACCCCGUUUCGACGUUUGGGACGAAGUCUUCGUCGGUGAAUAGCCGGCUGGAGUGACGGUACCUUCGGAAGAAGCCCCGGCUACGCUACGUGCCAGCAGCCGCGGUAAUAC